AUUGAACGCUGGCGGCAGGCCUAACACAUGCAAGUCGAGCGGAUGAAGGGAGCUUGCUCCUGUCUUCAGCGGCGGACGGGUGAGUAAUGCCUAGGAAUCUGCCUGGUAGUUGGGGAUAACGUCCGGAAACGGGCGCUAAUACCGCAUCCGUCCUGAGGUAGAAAGUGGGGGAUCUUCGGACCUCACGCUAUCAGAUGAGCCUAGGUCGGAUUAGCUAGUUGGUGAGGUAAAGGCCUACCAAGGCGACGAUCCGUAACUGGUCUGAGAGGAUGAUCAGUCACACUGGAACUGAGACACGGUCCAGACUCCUACGGGAGGCAGCAGUGGGGAAUAUUGGACAAUGGGCGAAAGCCUGAUCCAGCAAUGCCGCGUGUGUGAAGAAGGUCUUCGGAUUGUAAAGCACUUUAAGUAGGGAGGAAGAGCAGUAAGAUAAUACCUUGAUGUUUUGACGUUACCAACAGAAUAAGCACCGGCUAACUUCGUG
rnacentral:rRNA from 1 species